CCUACGGGUGGCUGCAGUGAGGAAUAUUGGUCAAUGGCCGGAAGGCUGAACCAGCCAAGCCGCGUGAAGGACGACGGUGCCAAGCAUUGUAAACUUCUUUUGUGCGGGAGCAAUAAUGGUCACGUGUGGCCAGACGAGAGUACCGUACGAAUAAGCAUCGGCUAACUCCGUGCCAGCAGCCGCGGUAAUACGGGGGAUGCAAGCGUUAUCCGGAUUUAUUGGGUUUAAAGGGUGCGUAGGCUGUGAGGUAAGUCAGCGGUGAAAUGCCGCGGCUCAACGGGGUGAAGUGCCGUUGAUACUGGCAUGCUGGAAUGCGGAUGACGUAGGAGGAAUGUGUGGUGUAGCGGUGAAAUGCAUAGAUAUCACACAGAACACCGAUUGCGAAGGCAUCUCACGAACCCGCGAUUGACGCUGAUGCACGAAAGCGUGGGUAUCGAACAGGAUUAGAUACCCUUGUAGUC
rnacentral:rRNA from 1 species